UCCAGACUCCUACGGGGGGCAGCAGUGGGGAAUAUUGCACAAUGGGGGAAACCCUGAUGCAGCAACGCCGCGUGAGUGAAGAAGUCAUUCGUGAUGUAAAGCUCUAUCAGCAGGGAAGAAAAUGACGGUACCUGAGUAAGAAGCCCCGGCUAACUACGUGCCAGCAGCCGCGGUAAUACGUAGGGGGCAAGCGUUAUCCGGAUUUACUGGGUGUAAAGGGAGCGUAGGCGGGGAUGCAAGUUGGGUGUCAAAACUACCGGCUCAACUGGUAGUCGCACUCAAAACUGCAGCUCUUGAGUGAAGUAGAGGCAGGCGGAAUUCCUAGUGUAGCGGUGAAAUGCGUAGAUAUUAGGAGGAACACCAGUGGCGAAGGCGGCCUGCUGGGCUUUUACUGACGCUGAGGCUCGAAAGUGUUGGGAGCAAACAGGAUUAGAUACCCCCGUAU
rnacentral:rRNA from 1 species